rnacentral:sRNA from 1 species
GCUGGGCACAGUGACGCAUACCUGUAAUCCCAGCAGCUAGGGAGGCUGAGGCAGGAGAAUCCUGAGUUCAAAGCCAGCCUCAGCAAAAAGUAAGGUGCCAAGCAACUCAGAGAGACCCUGUCUCUA